CUGGAUGACGCCAUCCAGCACCAGCACGUUACCGUAGGUCUUACUGCGGGUGGAGUGACAGUCGGGGGCCUGAGUCUUCUGGGGUGAGGGAAUGUGCCCCAACCCCGCCACAGGGUCUCAGGGGCCGGCUGAGCUCAUGGACAUGGAAAGCAUGGCUAUGGAAGACGCCCCUACAACUGUGCAUCUGCACAGUAAAAAAAGCCCACAGGAAAUACACAACACCCGGUGAUUAAAUUUCUUGUUUGCAUUUUUCUGUGCCAUCCACAUUUGCUACAGUAAACUUGCUUUCCUCUUGUUUUUGCAGUGCUGGGGAUUGAAUCCAGAGCCCUGCACAUACGAGGCGAGUGCUCUAUCACUGAGCUACUCCCCCCCAGCCCAAUGUAAUUUCUUUUAUAAUCAGGAAAAGACAAAAAGGUUUUUUUGUUGUUGUUGUUUAUUUAUUUUUUCUUUCUUAAAGGAAGAGAAAGGAACAGAGAUCAAGUUCUCCAGAAGCCACACUGGCUCCAGAGCACUCCAGCCCUCUUUGCAACGGCGUACCACAGCUUCACCCACAUUAUCCCAAAGCCCAGACAGGGGUCAGAGGCCCACAGAACCCUCCUAAGGCGAGCAACACCUCACUCUUUUGAGUCACAGGCUGUUCUCCUGUGUUACUCCCUUGGGGGUUCUGGCUUUCUCUAGAAAUCACAGUGACCUUUCAGGGCACUCUCCUCUCUCAUGGACAGCUGAGGGUGGUGGUGUGAACGGGACGGGGCCUGUCCUUCCUGCCAGGGCUACGAUGGCAGCAAAAGAAGAGUCAGGAACCAGCUUUCUUCCAGAAGGAAUUAGUUUUAAUGGUUUAAAAAUGCGUUUAUAUAAAAGCAGCACCACCAUUUGGUGCUUCCAGUCCCUGGGGUCCCAAGGGUCUCUUCCAGCACUAUCUCUUUGGCCAGUUGUACCUAAAGCCUCUGCAGAGACAGUAGGAAAACAGAGUUACUUCUUCCAGAGCGGCUGACAGUUGGGUCUCAGUUGCUUUAUACAACACACAACCCUCUAGAAGGCAGAACUGAAGAAUGGCUUGCUUGGGCCCUGGGGACUGAGCUGGAUGGCAGUGGGGUGGCGGGGGCAGAAUGCGGGGCCCACAGCAAUGGCCAAGGCCCUGAGCAGAAUUUUUCCUGUGCCAGGGCCCAACCUCAGGUACUGCUCUAGCAUGAUCUGGAUUUCACGCUCUUAACUACAACAUUCUUCAGCAAUGACAACCCACAUUUGCCGAUUUUUUCUUUCUUUCCUAAGAAACAGGCUGACCUAAGAAAAUUUCAUACAUAUUUGCUCUGAGGUGACCUCAGGAAACUAAACAGGAAAGAGCAAAGAAUAAGGGGUCUGAAUGCUGGGAUGCAGUAAGUGGCCAUAUGACAUGUGGCACACAGCAAAUCACGUCCCCUCCUGUUUUUCAAGUGACAAAGAGAGGCCUGGCUGUGGAGAAAGCCUCUGCUCUUCUAGACAAAGCCCUCUGAGCUGUGCUCUGCUGCAGGUACCCAAGUGCAACAGGGAGGGUGCUUUCCUGCUGGGCUCCAGGGCCUGCGCCUGGCUACUUCCACAUACCUGUCUGAUUUUCCAGUUGGAAAGGACAUGCUUUUGUUUCCCACUGACUGUUUCAGUUUUUUGGCUGCAAAGCACUUCUGAAAAGAUAAGAGAUGUUGAAGGUGGGGGACAACCUUGACCAGCAGAGGAGAACACCCAACUCAGAUGGCUAGGGAGAGGGGGUACCCAGCACACGGGUGAGCCCUGGUUUCCAGCAGUGGGCACCCCUGUGCACUUCAGAAGACAGAGCUAGGGCAGGAACAGGAGGCUCUGCACAGCCCUGCUCCCACAUGCCAGCCCCGCUGGGCCUGGACCCCACAGGGGGUACACAUUGGCCAUACUGGCACCCGAAGGGGUGCUUCUGACCUGAAGCUAGAGUUCCCAUGGCUACCUGGCGCGGUGGUGCAUGCCUGUAAUCCCAGUGGCUUGGAAUGCUGAGGCUAGAGGAUCUUCAGUUCAAAGCCAACCUUAGCCACUUAACGAAGUCCUAAGCAACUUAGCAAGACUGUCUCAAAAUAAAAUAUAACAAGGGCUGGUGCCCCUGGGUUAAAAAAAAAAAAAUUCCCAUGGCUGCAAAGAAAAACUGCAUGCCAGGCUGGGUGGGGGCCAUGCCUGUAACCCCAGCGGAAUGGGAGUCUGAAGUAGGGAGGAGGAGGAUCACAAAUUCAAAAUCAGUCUCAGCAAGAAACACUAAGCAACUCAGUGAGACUUGUUUCUAAAUAAAAUACAAAAUAGGGUUGGGAGGUGGCUCAGUGGCUGAGUGCCCUCAUUCAAUCCCCGGUAAACCCCCACCCCACAAAAAAAAAAAAAAAAAAAAGACAACAAACAACUGCGCGCCAUCUUUUAUAGCCACUUUUAAAAAAUGGCGGAAGCAGCUGCUAGGUGCCGUCUCCCCUCAGAAGGAAGGAGCAGGAGAAGCCACAGAGGAAGAGGACUGCUGGAUGGAGCACCCUCCCAGCAGAGGGGCUGAACCAAGACUGCGGGGAGCGCAGCGCUCCUGGUGCGGCCUUACCUUGCCAGACACGGCUUGCUUACUGGGGUCAAACUGGGAGGAAGGUUUGGGUUUGCUGUCUCCUGCAAGGUAAGAGAUGAGGCCAGCGCUGAGGCAAGGAGCUUAAGACAGGGCCCGCCCGGGGUUCAGACUGCUGGCGGCCAGCCUGCCACCUGCUUUGCAAUGACAUAAGUUAAUGUUUCCAAUCGCUGCUGCUGAGACCAGGCUUAGUUCUCACAGACCUGUUUCCAGGCUGUUAGGGGCAGGUGGCUCCUCUGACAUCAAGAUCCAGCGCCAUAGGCAGGGACAGGGGCUCCUGAUGAAGUCCCCGUGUGGACUGUCCUGCUCUCUUGCUCCUCCAAGGGCUGUGUUGCCCUGGAGGCAGCUAGAGGGAGCCAGGAGUUUGGGCUUCAGGUGCUUUCAAUCAACAAUACCUGUGAGUGUGUGUAUGUGUGUGUGUUCUGGGCACAAGUGACUGUGAGAAAGGACGAAGCCAUUAGUCACACGGAGGGCUGAGAGCUAGUUCUGGGGAAGGGGGCUUCUGGCGGUCACUGGCCACGGCCACGUCCUGGGCAGGGCUUGCUGUGCCUAAACUGUGCCUUCUUCACUGGACAGCUUCCUCCCACCUCGAAUGGCCAGAUGUCCCAGAGUGGGGCCCCAGUCCUGUCCUCACCAGCAAAAGCCUUGAAGUCCGACUGGCUGUAGUCAAAAGGGGUAAAAUCUUUUUCUGAGUCCUUUGGCUUCUUGGAAGUCCUGAGUCGUUUCUUCUCCUGUUUCUGCUCCAGGGUCCUCGGGUCGCUUGUUGUUCGCUCUCUCUUCUUAGCAGCAUGCUCUAGCUGCAGGGCGAGCACACCCAGGGAGGGAAGCAGGAAGUGCCUGAGAGGGGAAGACCUGCCGCUUCGGUGACAGUAGACGGAGUGAGCCUACUGCAGAGGGCUCCAGGCAUGCCCCCCCAGCCCUCUUCUGUGCUUCCUAUGCCCCUAUGCACACAGCUCAACGGGACUGGACACAGUAUGCUAAACGAUUUUUGGCACAAGCUA